GCUUCUCCCUUUGCCCCAGUGUUCGAGGCCGUCUGUAUGUGGCAGAAAAUAAUUCACCAAUACAUUUUGGAAAGUCCGUGCAUAAUAAUAUGGCACUGUGUCGGUUUUUAACCCAUGUUCCGGCCUCGUUCUAUAUUUCUGAGUCUGACCACGUUCUCAGGGUAUAAAUGCAGUGAUGUCUUCCAGUCGAUCAUAUUCGUGAUCCUACUGACUGGAUAUGUGAAAAAAAAACAGCUGUUUUAAAACUGAUUUGAAUCAUCCUGUCUGGACGAACGAGUACUGCUGACGGGACUAUGAAGUAACUCAGGAACCACUUUCAAUACAAUUUGCUUAAAAAAAAGCUAUAUUAACAGUAUCAAUGGCAACACUAUUUCAUUUCUCAUUACAAUGAUUUCAAUUCUCAUUACAUUUUGUAAUAUAGUUCCAAAAACAUUAUAAUCAUUGUUUGUAAAUAUUGCCUUAAAGUCGAUAUAUUCAGGAAACACGUUUUUAUAAACAAUGUUUUAAUCAUGCACUACCAGCAAUCAGAUCACAUGAACGCUCUGAUUAAAUUCUCCAAAGGCA